UUCCUUUCACUAUCCACACACAAGUACACCCUGGUAUCUGUUGUUCACUUCCUUGUGUCCAUGUGUACUCAAUGUUUAGCUCCCACUUAUAAGUGAGAACGUGCAGUAUUUAGUUUUCUAUUUCUGUAU